AGCAGCCGCGGUAAUUCCAGCUCCAAUAGCGUAUAUUAAAGUUGUUGCAGUUAAAAAGCUCGUAGUUGAAUUUCGGGAUCAAUAUUUCGGUCAUGCCGUUGGUAUGCACUGUUAUCAUUGAUUUCUCACCUUCUAAAGAACCGUAAUGCCAUUAAUUUGGUGUUACGGGGAAUUAGGACUGUUACCUUGAAAAAUUAGAGUGUUUAAAGCAGGCUCACGCUUGAAUACAUUAGCAUGGAGUAAUGAAAUAGGACGUUUGAUUCUAUUUUGUUGGUUUCUAGGAUCGACGUAAUGAUUAAUAGGGAUAGGUUGGGGGCUAUUAGUAUUCAAUUGUCAGAGGUG
rnacentral:rRNA from 1 species